GAUUGUGGCUGUUUGCUGGCUUUAAGUAGCCGGCUCGGCUGAAAUACACGAGCAACCGCAUGAAUUAACAACGGCUUGACUCGGCGUAAUAAUUAUUUCGCUGAGGACGUUUCCCAAUUCUAAAGGUGCUUCUAAUGCAUUAGCAAUAAUCUUUUUAAGCUUUAGACCUCAAAUCAGUCAGGACUACCCGCUGAACUUAA
rnacentral:misc_RNA from 1 species